GAAUGCCGGUGUGAGUAGCGAAAGACGGGUGAGAAUCCCGUCCACCGAUUGACUAAGGUUUCCAGAGGAAGGCUCGUCCGCUCUGGGUUAGUCGGGUCCUAAGCUGAGGCCGACAGGCGUAGGCGAUGGAUAACAGGUUGAUAUUCCUGUACCACCUAUAAUCGUUUUAAUCGAUGGGGGGACGCAGUAGGAUAGGCGAAGCGUGCGAUUGGAUUGCACGUCUAAGCAGUAAGGCUGAGUAUUAGGCAAAUCCGGUACUCAUUAAGGCUGAGCUGUGAUGGGGAGAAGACAUUGUGUCUUCGAGUCGUUGAUUUCACACUGCCGAGAAAAGCCUCUAGAUAGAAAAUAGGUGCCCGUACCGCAAACCGACACAGGUAGUCAAGAUGAGAAUUCUAAGGUGAGCGAGCGAACUCUCGUUAAGGAACUCGGCAAAAUGACCCCGUAACUUCGGGAGAAGGGGUGCUCUUUAGGGUUAACGCCCAGAAGAGCCGCAGUGAAUAGGCCCAAGCGACUGUUUAUCAAAAACACAGGUCUCUGCUAAACCGUAAGGUGAUGUAUAGGGGCUGACGCCUGCCCGGUGCUGGAAGGUUAAGAGGAGUGGUUAGCUUCUGCGAAGCUACGAAUCGAAGCCCCAGUAAACGGCGGCCGUAACUAUAACGGUCCUAAGGUAGCGAAAUUCCUUGUCGGGUAAGUUCCGACCCGCACGAAAGGCGUAACGAUUUGGGCACUGUCUCAACGAGAGACUCGGUGAAAUCAUAGUACCUGUGAAGAUGCAGGUUACCCGCGACAGGACGGAAAGACCCCGUGGAGCUUUACUGUAGCCUGAUAUUGAAAUUCGGCACAGCUUGUACAGGAUAGGUAGGAGCCUUUGAAACGUGAGCGCUAGCUUACGUGGAGGCGCUGGUGGGAUACUACCCUAGCUGUGUUGGCUUUCUAACCCGCACCACUUAUCGUGGUGGGAGACAGUGUCAGGCGGGCAGUUUGACUGGGGCGGUCGCCUCCUAAAAGGUAACGGAGGCGCUCAAAGGUUCCCUCAGAAUGGUUGGAAAUCAUUCAUAGAGUGUAAAGGCAUAAGGGAGCUUGACUGCGAGACCUACAAGUCGAGCAGGGUCGAAAGACGGACUUAGUGAUCCGGUGGUUCCGCAUGGAAGGGCCAUCGCUCAACGGAUAAAAGCUACCCCGGGGAUAACAGGCUUAUCUCCCCCAAGAGUUCACAUCGACGGGGAGGUUUGGCACCUCGAUGUCGGCUCAUCGCAUCCUGGGGCUGUAGUCGGUCCCAAGGGUUGGGCUGUUCGCCCAUUAAAGCGGUACGCGAGCUGGGUUCAGAACGUCGUGAGACAGUUCGGUCCCUAUCCGUCGUGGGCGUAGGAAAUUUGAGAGGAGCUGUCCUUAGUACGAGAGGACCGGGAUGGACAUACCUCUGGUGUACCAGUUGUCGUGCCAACGGCAUAGCUGGGUAGCUAUGUGUGGACGGGAUAAGUGCUGAAAGCAUCUAAGCAUGAAGCCCCCCUCAAGAUGAGAUUUCCCAACUUCGGUUAUAAGAUCCCUCAAAGAUGAUGAGGUUAAUAGGUUCGAGGUGGA
rnacentral:rRNA from 1 species